rnacentral:rRNA from 1 species
AGAGUUUGAUCCUGGCUCAGGAUGAACGCUGGCGGCAUGCCUAAUACAUGCAAGUCGAACGAGGGUCCUUCGGGACUCGAGUGGCGAACGGGUGAGUAACACGUAGGGAACCUGCCCGUGCGACCGGGAGAACUUUCGGAAACGGAAGCUGAUACCGGAUAGGGACAGAGACGGCAUCGACUCUGUGUUAAAGGAGCUGAAAGGCUCCGCGCACGGAUGGACCUGCGGUGCAUUAGCUGGUUGGUGAGGUAACGGCCCACCAAGGCGACGAUGCAUAGCCGGCCUGAGAGGGCGGACGGCCACACUGGGACUGAGACACGGCCCAGACUCCUACGGGAGGCAGCAGUAGGGAAUUUUCGUCAAUGGGCGCAAGCCUGAACGAGCAAUGCCGCGUGAACGAGGAAGGUCUUCGGAUCGUAAAGUUCUGUUGAAGGGGAAAAAGAGUGGAGAGAGGAAAUGAACUCCGAUUGAUAUUACCCUUCGAGGAAGUCACGGCUAACUACGUGCCAGCAGCCGCGGUAAUACGUAGGUGGCGAGCGUUAUCCGGAAUGAUUGGGCGUAAAGGGUGCGUAGGCGGCCUGCUAAGUCUGGAGUGAAAGGUACCGGCUCAACCGGUACAGGCUCUGGAAACUGGCGGGCUAGAGAGCAGGAGAGGGCGGUGGAACUCCAUGUGUAGCGGUAAAAUGCGUAGAUAUAUGGAAGAACACCAGUGGCGAAGGCGGCCGCCUGGCCUGUUACUGACGCUGAGGCACGAAAGCGUGGGGAGCAAAUAGGAUUAGAUACCCUAGUAGUCCACGCCGUAAACGAUGAGGACCAAGUGUUGGGGAAGACCCAGUGCUGCAGUUAACGCAGUGAGUCCUCCGCCUGGGGAGUAUGCACGCAAGUGUGAAACUCAAAGGAAUUGACGGGGGCCCGCACAAGCGGUGGAGUAUGUGGUUUAAUUCGAAGCAACGCGAAGAACCUUACCAGGCCUUGACAUAGGGUGCGAAGCUAUGGAGACAUAGUGGAGGUAAACAUCCAUACAGGUGGUGCAUGGUUGUCGUCAGCUCGUGUCGUGAGAUGUUCAGUUAAGUCUGGCAACGAGCGCAACCCUCGUGAUGUGUUACCAAUAUCGAGUUAGGGACUCACAUCAGACUGCCGGUGAGAAACCGGAGGAAGGCGGGGAUGACGUCAAAUCAUCAUGCCCCUUAUGGCCUGGGCUACACACGUACUACAAUGGCGGCGACAGAGGGCAGCGAGCCUGCGAAGGCAAGCGAAUCCCCAAAAAGCCGUCCUAGUUCGGAUUGGAGUCUGCAACCCGACUCCAUGAAGUUGGAAUCGCUAGUAAUCGCGGAUCAGCAUGCCGCGGUGAAUACGUUCUCGGGCCUUGUACUCACCGCCCGUCAA